CAUGGGUGAAGAAGUGGAAAAAGAAAAACCAAAAUGGUGAUCUGGGUUGUUUUGAUUAUAUGAAAGUCUGAUAUCCAGUACUGGCGCCUUCGCCGAGUGUUCAGGGUGUGAUUGAAGUCUCGAUCUCGCGAUCGAGCUACGGGGAUGACAAAUCUAUGUCGUACAUUUCAUCUGAUAGAUUCACAUCACUAUACAUGAGGGCUUCCACAAGCGAAAGGAAACAGAAAUUGUGGACAUACAGAUUAUGAGGCUCAAUUAAGCACGGUUCUUUGGUGGGUGGAAGUGAUGUAGCUUCAUCAGCCUCGAGCAUAUGAAUCACUGAUGACAUCGUUGGUCGAUCAGCUGGAGCUUCUUGAACACACAAAAGCCCGACAUGGAUGCAUCUUAAAGCUUCAUGAAUCUGGCAUGUAUCCCUUAAAGAUGAGUCAGAAUAGAGUGAUCCGGGAGUUUCACGUUUCCAAACUUUACAUAGUUACCUCGUGUGUUGUUAGUACAAGUCCACAUAUUCUCCCUAACGCAGCCACCGGACCAAUUCCCCACCGCCCAUUGGUCUGGAAACUUGGCCGUAAAACCAGUCA